CCUACGGGGGGCAGCAGUAGGGAAUUUUCGUCAAUGGGCGCAAGCCUGAACGAGCAAUGCCGCGUGAACGAGGAAGGUCUUCGGAUCGUAAAGUUCUGUUGAAGGGGAAAAAGAGCGGAGAGAGGAAAUGGUCUCCGAUUGAUAUUACCCUUCGAGGAAGUCACGGCUAACUACGUGCCAGCAGCCGCGGUAAUACGUAGGUGGCGAGCGUUAUCCGGAAUGAUUGGGCGUAAAGGGUGCGUAGGCGGCCUGCUAAGUCUGGAGUGAAAGGUACCGGCUCAACCGGUACAGGCUCUGGAAACUGGCGGGCUAGAGAGCAGGAGAAGGCGGUGGAACUCCAUGUGGAGCGGUAAAAUGCGUAGAUAUAUGGAAGAACACCAGUGGCGAAGGCGGCCGCCUGGCCUGGUGACUGACGCUGAGGCACGAAAGCGUGGGGAGCAAAUAGGAUUAGAUACCCGUGUAGUC
rnacentral:rRNA from 1 species